UGGCGGCGUGCUUAACACAUGCAAGUCGAACGAGGCUUAUCUGUGGAAGUUUUCGGAUGGAACGGAUAUGACCGAGUGGCGGACGGGUGAGUAACGCGUGGGAACCUGCCCCAUUCCGGGGGAUACCAGUUGGAAACGGCUGUUAAUACCGCAUAAGCGCACAGCACCGCAUGGUGGAGUGUGAAAAACUGAGGUGGAAUGGGAUGGCCCCGCGUCUGAUUAGCCAGUUGGCAGGGUAACGGCCUACCAAAGCGACGAUCAGUAGCCGGCCUGAGAGGGCGACCGGCCACAUUGGGGACUGAGACACGGCCCAAACUCCUACGGGAGGCAGGCAGUGGGGAAUAUUGCACAAUGGGGGAAACCCUGAUGCAGCGACGCCGCGUGAGUGAAGAAGUAUUUCGGUAUGUAAAGCUCUAUCAGCAGGGAAGAAGAUGACGGUACCUGCACAAGAAGCCCCGGCUAACUACGUGCCAGCCGCCGC
rnacentral:rRNA from 1 species